AUUGAACGCUGGCGGCAGGCCUAACACAUGCAAGUCGAGCGGAUGACGGGAGCUUGCUCCUUGAUUCAGCGGCGGACGGGUGAGUAAUGCCUAGGAAUCUGCCUGAUAGUGGGGGACAACGUUUCGAAAGGAACGCUAAUACCGCAUACGUCCUACGGGAGAAAGCAGGGGACCUUCGGGCCUUGCGCUAUCAGAUGAGCCUAGGUCGGAUUAGCUAGUAGGUGAGGUAAUGGCUCACCUAGGCGACGAUCCGUAACUGGUCUGAGAGGAUGAUCAGUCACACUGGAACUGAGACACGGUCCAGACUCCUACGGGAGGCAGCAGUGGGGAAUAUUGGACAAUGGGCGAAAGCCUGAUCCAGCCAUGCCGCGUGUGUGAAGAAGGUCUUCGGAUUGUAAAGCACUUUAAGUUGGGAGGAAGGGCAGUAAGCUAAUACCUUGCUGUUUUGACGUUACCGACAGAAUAAGCACCGGCUAACUCUGUGCCAGCAGCCGCAGUAACAC
rnacentral:rRNA from 1 species